rnacentral:lncRNA from 1 species
CUCCACCAAAAUUUGUUCCCACUUAAACAAACUAAAUCUCGAAAUACCGAAAAUUCAAAAUGCCUAAAUCCUUAACUCUCUCUAAGCACUAACUAGUGGCAACCCCUCUCUCAGGCCUCAGUAGCACGCACUGCGACAGCAGCACACACAGCCUGCACAGAAGCAGCCUAGCACGGUAGCACCACACGUAGUAGCACAUCGCUCGCUCUGACUCUCUCUCAACACGCACACGCUGCUGUAGCAGCUCCUCUCUUAUACUCACUUAGUUGUUCUCAGCCUCUGAUCUCAGCUGUUGCCGUCAUAGCUUCAUUCAGCUGUUGCCAGCAUGCCGACCACCUGAGACAGUGAAUUGAGACUUUUUUUUUAAUUUUUAAUUUUUCAUUAAUUGUUUCCUAAAUUAAAUUAACCAAAUACUCAAAUUAAUUGAGUUGAGAGGAAUACUGUAAAAAUUUAAUUCAAUAAAGUUUGUAAAAAAUGUUUUAAUUUUUUUUCUUCCAGUUGGGUUGGUAAUUUCCACAACUCAAGAAUUCUUUUGGUGGUGAUUUUUCCAUUACUUUGCCUCUUAGAAGUUUUCCAUUACUUUGCCUCUUAGAAGGCAUCUGCUUUCUUGUCUUUCACUUUUAUCUUUCUUUGUUUCGAACGCAUGAUAAUGAAUGAUAAUUGUAGAAUCAGAAAAAAAUGAUAUUGUCUCCCCAAGUCCUUACCACAGUCUCCCCAAAUCCGCUCAUAGUGUAAUUAAAAAAUAUAUUUAUACGAAUAUGAAAAUUGUGAUUAUUUUUUGUACUUAGAUAUAGGGUUUAUAGGGUUUUCAUGCCGUCAAAAUAAAGAGAAGUGCAAAACACUUGCUUGAAAUAAAAUUUUUUCAUCUUUUCGUUAUUUCCUGUUUAGUAGGAUUAGAUAAAAAUCAUUUUUAGUUAUAUGUUAACUUUUAUUUAUUUUUUCUAAUUUUCCCCUUAAUGAAAAAUCUUUUUUUGUUCUCAAUGAAUUACUAAUAAACAAUAUUUAACUGAUGGUUAGUUAAUGGAAGGAUGUUUUAGACUAUUGUUUAAAAAAUGAGGAUGAAAU